UAAAGAGUAAAGGUUCUGCUACGUUUUUAUAUGAGCAGUACCCACGUUACUUUAGUGACAUCAAUACAUUGUUGAUUGUUAUUUGAUGAACCAUUGUAUUGUUUUCCAUGACAAAUGGUUCGUAGACAAUUUUACAUCU